AGAGUUUGAUCCUGGCUCAGGACAAACGCUGGCGGCGUGCGUAACACAUGCAAGUCGGACGAGGUUAGCGGGUCUCGGAGCUGCUAAGCGAGUGGCGGACGGGUGAGUAACACGUGGAUAACCUACCCUGCUGUGGGGGAUACCCUGUAGAAAUACGGGCUAAUACCGCAUGCGGUCUCGAGGAGAGAGCUUGUCGAGAA
rnacentral:rRNA from 1 species